rnacentral:rRNA from 1 species
UACGGAGGGUGCGAGCGUUGUCCGGAAUCAUUGGGCGUAAAGGGCGCGUAGGUGGCCCGGUCAGUCUUUGGUGAAAGCGCGGGGCUCAACCCUGCGUCGGCCAGGGAUACUGCCGCGGCUCGAGCACUGUAGAGGCAGGCGGAAUUCCGGGUGUAGCGGUGGAAUGCGUAGAGAUCGGGAGGAACACCCGUGGCGAAGGCGGCUCACUGGGCCGGUCCUGACGCUGAGACGCGAAGGCGUGGGGAGCGAACGGG